CCCUUUUACAUCCCUCAAAACAAAAUCCCACAAGGCUCACGACGUUAACAUGUGAGGUCUUGCUAAUACUUGCUGCCUCGUUAAUGAAUUCUUCACCACUGCCUUUUAGUUUCUUCAGGACCUUCACAGCCACAUGACUUCCGUUAUGCAGACAUCCUUUGUAUACAGAACCAUAUCCUCCUUGACCAAGUUUAUUUUUGAAGCCACUGGUGAUUCUUUUGACUUCUAAAUAGUUGUAUCUCUUUGGAUAACACGAUCCAUAGUUCUUUAAAAAUGCUUCAAUAUUUUGGUGAUCCUCAGCAUUAGACUCCCAAAACCUGAUGUAUUUGUACCACAAAAUCUUCUCUCUGAAGUAAAAGAGUAAAACCAACAGUCCAACUGUAAACAGAACUGCACCUGUUGAAAGCAAAAUGAAGCCAUGCUCCAUCAGAGAAUAUAAAUAUAACUAAUUCUGAAUGUCUUAUGCACUAUCAGGGAAGUAUAGUUUUCUUUAGGGACUAUGCAAAUAGUAGAUAUCUACAAAAAAUGCAGUCAGUUAUCAAGGUUUUCAGGAAAAAGAAAGAAAGGAAAACAUCACAAGUAGAAAGAAUGUCCACUCAACUCCACUAUCCAUACGUUCUGUAAUCUGAAGUACGUGUCUCCUCAAUUUUUUGAAUUUUUACCACAAUGAAGAAGAAAAUUUAAAUGAUAUGCAUGAUUAUGCUGAAAUAAGAAAGAACCCUGCAGUUAAUGGAUAUUUAACUACCUGCUCCCAGAGUCGGUCCCAACUUGCUUCUAGUCAUUUUUGCAUCUAAAAAAGAGGAAAAAUUCUAUGAAAUAUUAUCAAUAUUUGAUACGAAAAUGAGAAAGAAAUUUAUUAAAUAUGCACUAGACCUUGAGCAUUUAGAUCAUUUUUUUGAUGAUCAUGUGGAUUAUUUGGAUAUGAACAAUGAAAUUUGUUGGUUAUAUCGGUCUGGCAUUGACCUCCGCCAUAGUGACAUUUGUAACAGUCCGCAGACAGUUUCCAUUGUACUAGAAAACCGGCGCUUAACAUAUUGAACAAACCACCUUCAUCUGAUAUCGAGCCAAUUGGCAAUCUGUUAAGUGAACAGUUGGCUGGAAGAUUGCCAGCAUGAGCAUCUUCAUGAUCACCUAGGCGAAGCUUGUAGUAUAUGCUGAAGCCUGUACAGCCAUUGUACCUUUUAUAACCAGCAAAAUGGUCAUUUGUGUGGGUAACGUUUGGGGUGCUAUUACUAGUGAUGUUGCAUUUGAAGAAGUUGACAAAAUUCAAUAGGAGAAGUAUGAAAGAAAUAGAAGAAGAGUUUGGAAGGGAGAACUUUUUGUUAAAUGCUUGGCACUUGUGUUGCCUCAACUUGGCAUGAAGCUUGGGGUCCCCGAGAAAAACUGUAUAAUUAAAUGGAUUUCCUAAAGCAUAGUACGAAUCUCCUCCAGGAAGCAGUUGGAUUCUCGGAUAUGGUUUAGCAUCACAACCAGAGAUGGGCACUAUUCCACAGUCAGGUUGUGUGGAAAGAGAGAAAGGAAAGCUCAGGUCAGUAAGAUUUCCACAUGAAAAGGACUUUGGACAAGUUGAAUCAUUUCUGCAAUUUGCCUGAACUAAGUAACUGAUCAGAAGAAAGCAUAUAAAAGAAGUGUAAGUCAUAUUAAAUCCUCCCACUGAUCAAGCAAAAGUCUCCUCCUAUAUCAACAAGAGGAAAAAUUAUGAAUUCGGUUGUUCACUGCACUUAUGCUUUUAAGAGCAUAGUGAAUGUGGAAAAGUUGUUUAAACGUAUAUUAAGGGCUGUGAGGGAAUCUUCAAAGCACCUUAUUGUCAACAGAAAGACUUGAAGUCCUGCAGAAAUAACGAAGACUACAUUUUCAAGCCUAGUGAAAGAAAAUGACUUGAUAUGUAUCCAGGAUAACUUCAUUUUAAGAUGAGCAACUUACAAAAAUGACUAUAUUUAUAGGGUUAUUGAAGUUCAAUCAAUAGCUAUAAGUUCAACUUCUGUUAAGGAAAAACUACAGAAUAUGGCAAACAUCAAUAUAUAUUUAAAACAAAUAGCUAUAGUUUAUUUUUUUAUGUUAUAUGGAUAUAACUACACAAUAAAUAGCAAAGUUAAUUAUAUACAAAUAAUCAGGAAAUUUAUUAAAUAUUAAAUAGGAAAAUUAUUAUCACAAGGAUAAUUAAUUAUGUCUAGGCACAUUUUAUGUGAUCAGUUUUUCAAUUUUAUCCUCAUUAAUACUUUCUCUUUCAUCAACAUUCCUAUAUCACAGAUUCUCAAUAUUUUCCUCCCAUAUUCCUUCCAAUUUAAGAUCUUUUUGAUGAUUCUAGGAGUAGUUUUUGUGAUUUGAAUUCAUCGAGUAUCUUUUAAUUGAUUUUUUCUCUCUUUUUUUAUGAAGAUUAUAUUUGUAUCCAUCUAUAUUUUCAUCUAUUUUUAUAGGGGUUCAAUUGAAGAAUUAUUUUAUUUUCUCCAUUGAAAUGGUUAUAGUUAUAUAAAAAAAAAAGUAGUAAAGGAAGAACAUGAGCAAAAAGAGAUUGAGGUUUGUGUGAUUGUGAUUUGAAUUCAUCAAGUAUCUUUUAAUUGAUUAUUUUUAUUUUUUUUUAUGAAGAUUAUAUUUAUAUCCAUCUAUAUUUUCAUCUAUUUUAUAGAGGUUCGAUUGAAGAAUUGUUUUGCUUUCUCCAUUACAACGGUUAUAGUUAUACAAAAAAAAGUAGUAAAGGAAGAACACGAGCAAAAAGAGAUUGAGGUUUGUGUGAUUGUCAUAUUUGUAUAUAGUUGAAUACUUAUAUACAUAGAUACUUGUAUUGUAAUAUUAACAGAAGUUGAAAUGGUGAUUUGUGCAUACAAGUAUAUAUGGAUACAUAAGUAAUCUAUCCAAUUUAAAAGAUUGUUUAGGCAAUACAAGUAUAAUUGAAUACAGUAAUCCUAUAUUUUUAUAAACAAAUACAUGAGUUAACACCAAACCUCAAGUAUUACAGAAAAAACUUGACCAAAAAGAGAUUGACGUUUGUUGGAUUUAUCAAUUUUUUAUACAAGCGAAUACUUACACACUUUGAUACCUACACAUUCUAUUAUUUUCCAUUUUCUUGUUUCUAUGUUGUCCAAUGUAUCCAUCCUUUGUUUAACAACAAUGUGUGUGUAUAUAUAUAUAUAUAUAUAUAUACUNNNNNNNNNNNNNNNNNNNNNNNNNNNNNNNNNNNNNNNNNNNNNNNNNUAGUUUUAAAUUAUAAUAUAGCCACAAAAAAUAGUUUUAAAUUUUUUUCUUUACACUAAGGAAUGAAAGAAAAAGAUAAAAUAAGAAUAAGAAACUCAAAUAAUUAUAAUAAAAGAAGUCAAAAAUAUAAUUUAUGUAUGAAAAAGAUUAAAAUAUACCUUGAACUUUGCUAGAAGAAUCAUAUAUACCCCUAAAUAAGUUAUAAGAAAAUUAAAAGUUAAAAAUAUAAAUUUAAAACUAACUUUUUCACUUCCGUUAAAUGAAGGGUAUAUGUGAGCUCAUUUUGUAAUGGUAGGGGUAUAUGUGAGCCGUUUGUAUAACAGUAAGGGCAUAUAUGAGUCACUUUCAUAACGAGGGGCAUAUUAGCUCCAAAUGACAAAGUUGAGGGGGAUAUCAGACCCUUUUCACUAUAUACUAUAUUGUAUUCAUUUUUUUUUGAAUAACAACAAUGUAUUCAUUUUUCAAAUUGUCGUGUUCAUAUGUUAAUUGUCAUACUUUACCUUGUUUGAUAUAUUAAUACAUUAAGUUUUUAUAAAUACUUGUAUCCUUGAUAUAUUAAUACUUUAAGUCUUAUAAAUAGAGAUACCAAUUUGAAUUCAAAGUAUUCAUAUGCUACACAAUUAAUACAUGUUCCUUAUUUAGUUUAUUGUAAUUAAAACUGUACUAGUAUAUAAAUAGAAAAAUAAAAACAUAUAAAGAAAUACAGCUAGAAAAAGAUAUAAAUUAUAGUCAUUUUUUAUUAAUAACAUACUUAUAGCUAUUGAACUUCAAUAACCCUAUAAAUAUAGUCAUUUUUGUAAGUUGCUCAAUGACUAUAAUUGUAGGGUUAUUGAAGUUCAAUAACUAUAAGUAUGCUAUUUAUAAAAAAUAACUACAUUUUAUGUCUUAAUCUUGCUAUAUAUUUGUAUUUAUUUUUUAUUUUUUUAUUUAUACAAUGAUACAAUUAUAAUUACAAUGCACUAAAUAAGGUAAUCUCUUGUUAUAGUGACUGAAUGCCCCCUAAUUACGUUUCUAAAACUCUCAACUUUCCAUAAUUAAAUUUAAAACUAAUGAUUACGUCCCUAUCCGCUUGGAUUCCAACUAAUACUUAAUUAAUAACUAAUAUUAAAUUAACAACUAAUUUUACCUUAUGAAUACACCUAUAUCAUAUAGGAGUGCCCAUGUUAUUAAACAAAAUUUAGAUACAGUGGACAAUCCAGAAUUAAGAAAAUGGAAAAUAAUACAAUGUGGGUAUCCAAGUAUAUAAGUAUUUGACUGUAUAAAAAAUUGAAACGCCAACAAAACUCAAUCUUUUUUUCUCAUGUUUACUAUUUUUUUACAAAUAUGUUUAUAUAUAUAACUCAAGUAUUUGUUUAUACAAAAAUAAUGUAAUUAUGUAUCAAAAUAUACUUGUAUUACCUGGUCAACCUUUCAACUUGUGUUAAUAUUUCAAUACAUUGGGACAAUCCAAAAAAAAUGACAAGUGGAUAUAAUACAAUACAAGUAUCCAAAUAUAUAAGUAUUUCACUAUAUAAAAAAAUGAAAAUCAGACAAUCCUCAAACUCUUUUUGCUCACGUUCUUCAUGUUAUACAUAUGAAUACAACUAAUGAACUCAUCAACCUUUCAACAAGAUGUAUACAAAUACAAAUUUCAUAUAAAACGAGAAAAAAAUGCAAAUAGAAGAUAUUUGAUGAAGAUAUGUCACAAAAAUUGCUCAUGAAAAUCAAGUAAAGAAUUGUGAAUUGGAAGAAAAUUGGAGAAAAAAUUGGUGAUAUUGAAAGAGAAAAUAGCAAAGAGGGUAAAUAUGGGUAGUAAAGCACCGUAAAGCAUGUUUGACUGGUAUUAAUUAGGCAUGUAGAAUUAUCUUUGCUAUUUAAUGAAUAUUUAUAUCCAUAUAUAAUCUUUUUUUAAAAAAAAAAAACAGAUUAUGAGUGUAAUAUUAACUUUGUUAUUUAACAUUUAAUUAUAGGCAAAAUUACUAAAGUACACUACAUAGGUUUACCUAUUAUCAAUUAAUCCCUUCUCUUUCAUAAAAAUUCAAAAAUCCCUACUUUUCCCCAAUUCCUCUCUUCCGGAUACUUUAUUAUGAAAGAAAUCAAACCCAUCUUCCUCACCCCCAAAAUCUCGCCUAUAAUCUCUCCCACUACCAAAUCAGUUACCGCUUUCAAAGUAAUUUAAUUUUCAAAUGAUUCAACAGUCUCAAAGUUCAAAAUAGGUAUUCUUCUUCUUCUUCAUUUUUCUUUCAAAAUCAAUUUUUUGUUUCAAUCGAUUUUGGAUUAUUUAGUUUCUACCCAGAAACACCGAUAUUUUAUCAAUUGUUGGUAUUAAGGUUUCAUUGUUGAAAAAUAAAGUAUCUUGGUAUAUAAUGAAAUGUUUAGUUUCUACCCAGAAACACCGAUAUUUUAUCAAUUGUUGGUAUUAAGGUUUCAUUGUUGAAAAAUAAAGUAUCUUGGUAUAUAAUGAAAUGUUUAGUUUCUACCCAGAAACACCGAUAUUUUAUCAAUUGUUGGUAUUAAGGUUUCAUUGUUGAAAAAUAAAGUAUCUUGGUAUAUAAUGAAAUGUUUAGUUUCUACCCAGAAACACCGAUAUUUUAUCAAUUGUUGGUAUUAAGGUUUCAUUGUUGAAAAAUAAAGUAUCUUGGUAUAUAAUGAAAUGUUUAGUUUCUACCCAGAAACACCGAUAUUUUAUCAAUUGUUGGUAUUAAGGUUUCAUUGUUGAAAAAUAAAGUAUCUUGGUAUAUUCUGAAGUGUUGAUUGUUGAAAUAAAGUAUAUGUUACUUGUGAUUCAUAUAGCUGUUUAUCAAUUGCUGAUAUUUUAUUGUUGAUAUUAAGGUUUCAUUGUUGAAAUAAAGUAUCUGUUACUUGUUGAUAUUAAGGUUUGAUUGUUGAAAUAAAGUAUCUGUUACUUGUGAUUCAUAUAUGUAGAUGAUAGAAAAAUAAGUAUUUGUUUUACAUUUGUAGAUGAAACACUAGUUUAAGACAAGUUUUGUGUGCUGCGAUUUGUAUUUAAGAUAGGCGUUCAAUUCGCUGUAUGAUAUAGAGGUUAUUUGUUGUACAAUGUAUCAUAUUCGUAGAUAUGCACAUGAAUGAUGCGAAAACAUAAUUUAACAUAUAUGUUAGUUAACAUUUUGUGUCAUGUUUAAAUAGAAGCCAAUGUAUAUACAUAAGUAAUAUGAUUUCCUGUAUCAGUUAUGCAAUUUUGGCAUACUAAGUAUAAAAUGAUCUGAAACAUAAUAUUUUGAAUUUAUAAUGUAUUUUCUUUCUGUUUGCAGUGAAUGCGGAACGUAUGUAGCUGUUUUUGCUGAAUUUCUGAGCGACGAAAUGAAGGUCCCAUCGAUUUCUUUUCGAAGUGACUAUCUUCGCUCAAGAUAUGCAACACUGUUAUGGAAAUAUGGUACCGACAAAGCCAAGGCGGGAUACGUUAGCAAGAAUGAUGAUCCUACAAGGCUAAAUGGUGUCUUCAUUCCAUUGACAGAUGAUGAACUGAUAANNNNNNNNNNNNNNNNNNNNNNNNNNNNNNNNNNNNNNNNNNNNNNNNNNNNNNNNNNNNNNNNNNNNNNNNNNNNNNNNNNNNNNNNNNNNNNNNNNNNGAAAGAGUAGGGAUAGGAAGUAAUUUGUUUACUAUACUAUGUGCUUUGUAUAAUUUUUACUUAAUUAUAUCCAUAAAACAUAAAAAGAAUGAACUACAGCCAUUUACCUUAAAUAUAUAUUGAUGUUUGCUAUCCUCAGACCCAAAAGGGCUUUCAAAAUAUUCAUUUGGCCCAUGGGCCAGCCCAACCCAGCCUCAAGGGCUGGCAUGAUCCCAUUUAAUCACAAUCCACCACAACAAUUAGCUAAUUAUAUUCAAAGAAGUAAGGAAAAAAAGAGACAAAACUAAAAGGGAUGAAGUACUUGAUUAUUUGAACUUCAACUGGAUACAGUAGAAAACAGAUUACAAAGGAAAGUGUGUCUCAUAAAAUAGGAUAGAGAAAUUAGUAAUAAAUUCAGUUGUCGAAGAAAAAUACAGCUUUUGCUAAAAGUUUACAACAAAUUAAGACUAGGCCAGUUCGACUUCCGAUGAAAUUACCUCUGUUCUUGAGGAAGAAUAUAGGUAAGGCUUUGGAGGAAUUUGCAGAAAGUCUAGGUUCCCUUCUAACAUUUCCACAACUUUGCUCAUCGAUGGUCGACUUGAGGGAUCAGUCUGUAUGCACCACAAACUCGCCAUCACCAUCUUUCUUGCACAUUCUUUCUCCUCUUCAUUCAUUAUCCCAAUUAAUUGGAGCUCUUCAUCUAGCUCAAUUCGUCGAUAGAGCCAAUGUGGAAAGUAGAUUUCACUCGUACGAUCAACUCCAACAUCAACAUUUUUUCUUCCUCCUACCAUCUCUAGGACCAUCAUUCCGUAGCUAUAGACGUCAGACUUGUGAGAGACACCUCCCAAGCUUCUGCAAAUAAUUUCUGGAGCAAUAUAACCGAUAGUCCCUCGUGCACCUAACAUUGACACAAUGCUUUCCUUUUUCAUGCACAGUUUGGCUAGUCCAAAGUCAGAGAUCUUAGGACAAAAAUCUUCAUCAAGUAGGAUAUUAUGAGGCUUUAUAUCAAAAUGCAAAAUCCGAGUGUUACAACCACGGUGCAAGUACUCCAAUCCUCGAGCAAUGCCUAGUGUGAUUUUGUACAGUAUUGGCCAACCCAAUUGGCGAACACUGUCAGAUCUUUCCUCAUAGAUAAACUUUUCAAGAGAUCCAUUUGGCAUGAACUCAUAUACGAGAGCUCUUUUGUGACCCUCAAAACAAAAUCCCACAAGACUCACGAUGUUAACAUGCGAUGUUCUGCUAAUACUUGCCACCUCGUUAAUGAAAUCUUCACCACUGCCUUUUAGUUUAUUCAGGAUCUUCACUGCCACUUGACUCCCGUUACGCAAACUUCCUCUGUAUACAUUACCAAAUCCUCCUUGGCCUAGUUUGCUUCUGAAGUGACUGGUGAUUCUUUUGAUGUCUGUCUAAUUGUAUCUGUUUAGAGCAUAUGAUCCAUAGUUCUUUAAGAAUUCUUCAACUUUUUGGUGAUCCUCAGCAUUAGAUUCCCAAAACCUGAGGCAUUUGUACCACAAAAUCUUCUCUCUGAAGCAGAAGAGUAAAACCAACAGUCCAACUGUAAACAAAACUGCACCUGUGGAAAGCAAAAUGAAGUCAUGCACCAUCAGAGAGUAUAAAUUAAAUUCAGUCUGGAAGUCCUAUGAACUAUUUGGGGAACAGUCUGUGUUUUGGACAAUUCAUAUAGAAGAUACGUACAGAGACAAGAAAUACAAGUCGAAAGAGCAAAAGGGAAGCAAUGGUAUCUAUGAAACUGCAGUGCCAGUUACAGAGAAGAAAAAAGAAGAUGAGUUACCUGUCGCCACCAUGAACCAGGUUGUUCGAAGAUGAGUUAAAUUUCUAACACCUGCAAUACAUUAAAAGCAAAACUUUAAAGAUCUUUUAAAUAAACCUCAAUAGAGAACAGCAGAGCCAGAAUUCUUUCCACGAAGUUGGUUGAUACGAUAUUAAGUUUCAGUUGCUCAUACCUUUGAAAAGAACUAUAUUCAUGUUCACCACCAACCGAGCAUUUCCCUCCUUUGUCAAGACACUCAAGACAAUUUUUGGAAAGCUCCCAGUUUAGAAGUGCACUAGAAGUCAACAGUUCAAACAAGCCACCUGCAUAUGAUUUUGAUGGUGUAGGCAAUGGAAUUGGCAACUGUACAAGUGAACAGUGCUCUGGAAGUUUGCCACUUAUCUUAGCACUAGUAUUUCCUAAUAUUGUUUUAUUGGGAUGGUGAUAGUAAACAUUAAAACCUUCACACUCAGUAUAUCUAUCAAAAUCUUUGAAAAAGGAAUCAUUUGUCUUCUGGAUGGUGUUGUCAUGACUAUGUUUGCAUCUGUACAAGGUUAAGUUAGGAACAAUUUGGAAAGAAAUCAAAGGGGAAUUUGGAAAUGAGAAGAAGUUUCUGUUAAAAAACUUGCAACUUUUGUUAGCUAAGUACUCUUGAAGUUUAGGAUCUGAAAUAAGGAAAAAAUCACCCUUCUUCACUAAAGCAUCAUAAUUUUGUCCACCAAGUUCAAUCUUAGAUAUGGUUUAGUAUGACAAUCAAACCUGCAUAAUCCACACUGAGGGUUGCUGGAAUUUGUGAAAGUAAACUUCAUAGCUCCAAGGCCUCCACACUCAAAUUCAUCGGCGCAGUUGGAUUUUGAGUUACCUAGUACUUGAUGUAGGCUAAAGAUCACUAAACAACACAAAAACAAGAAAGCAGAAGCCAUACCCUGUACUCUAUAUGGACCUAAAAAGCAAGAAAGCUGGAGCUAUAGUUUCUUAUGCAAUAUCAAACUUGUAAUCUGGUUUUCUAUGAUGCUGAUUUGGAACUUUUCCACAAAGACUGAGAAAAAAAGGAAACAAGCUUCAAGUGAGGGCCAGGAUGGAAGACUUUUCCACUCUCCUUCCUCAUUGACUUGAAUUGUUGACUCUUAAUCAUCUAUGAGAUACUUCUUCUCCUUUUGUGUUAAGCAUAAUCUAAUAUAGAAAGACGGUGUCUUUACGAAGUAAAAGGUGCAGCAUUUUGGCUCACAUCAUAUAUCUGUGAGAGAAAGGGAAGUUGGUAAGUAUAUCGGUUAUGGUCAUUUUCCUGUGAACUAUAAAGGUAUUUUAAUUUAGGUUAAAAGCCAAUUGAAAAAAAUGCUCCUCCUCAAUUUUUGCUUUGGUAGUUGAUGCUGGAUUUUUUUCAUUGUUCUUGAACUUGCAAAAUUUCUUCUUUUUUCCUUUUCUUCUUUUGAUUUUGUUCUUCAAAAACACAUGCGAUGACAUUGUAUUGUGUACAAGUUUUUUUGAAAGUGCUUUAAUCUAAACUUUUGUAUGAUUUGCAGAGAGAUUGUAAGGGUUUUCUUCCAUCACAACCUCACAUAUCACAUAUGUUUCAAAAUAUGGUUUUAUUCUCACAGACCAAAUUUGAUAGUUUUUGUCUGUGAAUUUUUUUGGGGCAUUGAAAGAGAGACUACUGCUUGCCAUUAUUUUUAUUUAAAAAUUGGUUUAGAAAUGCAUGUCCGUUGAAAAAAAACACGGGUUGAAAAGGUUGCCCUUAUGGAUUAAAAUUUGCUAUAGCAUACAAAUAUGAAUUUUGUGUUUGCUAUAUGUGAAAGUUGCUCUUCUAUGAAAGCGUGCAUGUAAUGAGUAAUAAAAUAUAGCAAUGACAAAUUAAUCUUAAAAAAACAUGACAAGAAAUAAAAAUGAGGGACAUAUUUUAAUGUUUAAAAUUAAUUCUUUUUAAGUAACCAACUACAAAUUUCGAACUUUGCGUAGUAGUUAGCAAACUUCUAAUAAAGUCAUGAAUGUCAAAUUUGAGCUCAAUAAAAAUAUAGAUUCACGACAAUAAAGAAUUUAAUAUAAAAUUAAACCAAAAAAGUCUAGUAAAGAAAAAACACAAAGAUAUACAAUAAAAAGGAAAAAUACAACAUAAACAUCCUUCAUAAACCUUUAAUCAUAACAAUAUAGUCAAAAAAUAAUAUACAAAUCAAUACAUAAUUUUUCUAGUUCUUGUCGACACCUUCUUUCAUCACCAAUAUAAAUUUAAGAGUCGUCUUCAUAGAGUCAAACUAAAGUAUGACUUAAAUUAAAUAAUACAAUGAUUCACCAUUUUAACUAUAGAAUGAAAAGAAUAAUAAUCUUAGGUAGCCGUUGAAACUAAAAAAAAUGAAUUUGUAUAUAUAAAAAUUAAGGAAUAUCAAAAGGUAUAGGCUAUGAAUAUAAAAUAUAUGAGAGUUAUGAACAUUAAAUAUAUCAAUUGAAUGAGUAAUUGUAUAUAAGAUAUGAAGAUUAAUAUUUAGAGCAAAUAAAAGAGAAAAGUAUUACUUAAAUACUAAAUAAAUUGACCAGAUUUAAUUGUUAUAGAUUGGCUCGUGUGUUCAAGUGUUACAGAAGAGAUCGUAGACUCAACGAAAUAAUACCCAUAUGAGAAAGAUAAAGUUAAAAUGGAUUGCUAUGAUUAUUUGUAUGCUCAUUUUUCAUCAGUCAAAUUAUUCAAUGGAGGAGUAGAAAAGCCAACAAAGUGACAGUUAUAAUUUUCAUUAAAUGGAAAAGGAAACAUAAAAAUAAUGAGGAAAAGUACUUAAUGAGUCAAAAAUACAAAAAAUAAAAAAAUAUAAUAAUAAAUAAAAAUACCUAUGAUUUUUUUAUUUAAAAAGCUUAACACCUCUCAUUCUUAUUACUUUUCAAUUUUCAGAUUAGACAUACUUCAAUAAAAAAAAAAAGGAGAAAAUGCAUAAGUACCCCCAAUCUAUGCCCAAAAUUCCUGAGACACACCUAACCUUUAAUAAGGUCCUAUUACCCCCCGAACUUAUUUUAUAAAUAAUUUUCUACCCCUUUUCGGCCUACGUGACAUUAUCCUUGAAAAAAUUGUCAACACACGUUGGGCCCACAAGAUAGUGCCAAAACUAGACAUUAAAGAGGACCCGUGCCUGUUCAAAUACCAUGUGAAAGUGUGUGACCAUCUCAUCUAAAAGCUUUAACUAUUAAAGAGAACACACUUUUAUUUACUUAGAAUUCCCAACACUAGAAUGUUAUGCUGUCUUGAUAUAACAUUCUUCUCAAUGAUCCCUUUUGUAUUUUUUUCUUAGAGAAGAAUCAUGUAAACAAUUCACAUACUACUUUCUAAUUGCUAAUUUUAUUUCAAUGCAACGCUCAAGGAUCGAGUCUUAGCAGAUUUUGCUUUUUUUUCCAUAAAGAUGUAAAACAAAAAAACGAGUUUUCUUUCUUUAUCCAAAAUAUAAAGUGAUGGGAAAAAGAAAUGAAUGACAAGGAAAUAGAAAAGGGAUACAAGAUAGCAUGGUUUCUCAGACAAUUACCCUAUCACUCCCAAGAACGUCGAAAGGGAUAUUUGUUUCUCUUGUAUAUCAUAAUGCAGCUCCAUUAUCAUAACAUCUUACUUAGCUUGCAACAAGUUCAAUCUGGUAAAUAGCACAGAUGAAAAGAUCGGAUAUCGAUGGACCCUUUGGGUCCUCACUACCUAGUCUGCAAUUCACAUAAGAACACCUUGAUCAAACUUUUCUUCUUGAAAAUAUAACUCAGUAGAAAAUUGAGAACAGUAAGUCAAGAAUACUAAAUUCCAGAAAGAGGGAGACAAGUCUAGGUGAUACCCAUUUUAACGGUCUCACAGUGGUCGAGGAUAUCAGUUAUAGUCUCCUUAUUUGGUCUUGGACAGACCUCAUUUUAUAUGCUAACUUUUGGGGUUGAAUUAGACCCCAGAUCCAUUUUCUUAACAAUGAUUAGGGACAUGCCAACCACCAUAUAUCUGUAGAAAGAGACCACAAUUGGGCUAACCAAUAAGGCAAUACCAUUCUCAAAUUGUCUGGAAAUUAUCUUGUAACCAGACAAUUACUGAACAGGUAAAAUGAAAAGCUCUAAUUAGGUCUCCUUAUUGUGCUGACAAUUAUGGAAUUCCGCUAGGCAAAUCACUCUUCUUUUAGCAUUAAAUCAUAUAUUACUAAAAGUGGGAACAAAAAAAAUUAAAAGUUGAAAUACCAAAAUACCCCUAUAAAGUUGAGUUACUACAAUAAUGCCAUUAAUAUAUUUAAUAAGUUAAAAGUUAUAAUACCAAAAUAUCCCUAUAAAGUUGAGUUACUACAACAAUGCUAACACAGUGAAAGAAAUAUAUAUAUAUAUAUAUAUAUAUAUAUAUUAUUAAUAAUAAAUUUUAGCUUAAAUUGAUAGACAUUUUUACUCUUUUAAAAACUAAAUUAGUUAUACUUUUUUAAUUUUUUUUAUUUUUAAAUAAAAUAUUUUCACUUUUCACCAGUUUACUCAACAUAAAGUUUAUCUUUUUAUUAAAAUAAAUUUUCUAAUUAUUAUAAAAAUGAAUGUCCUAAUUAUUGUAAUUAAGAAGACUAAAGUUAGUCUCUUUGCCUACCAUGCAUGACUAUUCAUUUUCUUGCCUAAUCAUAUCGUAUUAUAAAUAAUUUCUAAUUAUUAUAAAAAUGAAUGUCUUAAUUAUUGUAAUUAAGAAGACUAAACUUAGUCUCUUUGCCUACCAUGCAUGACUCUAUUCAUUUUCUUGCAUAACCAUAUCAUAUUAUUAUUAUUAUUAUUAUUAUUAUUAUUAUUAUUAUUAUUAUUAUUAUUAUUAUUAUUAUUAUUAUUAUUAUUAUUAUUAUUAUUAUUAUUAUUAUUAUUAUUAUUAUUAUUAUUAUUAUUAUUAUUAUUAUUAUUAUUAUUAUUAUUAUUAUUAUUAUUAUUAUUAUUAUUAUUAUUAUUAUUAUUAUUAUUAUUAUUAUUAUUAUUAUUAUUAUUAUUAUUAUUAUUAUUAUUAUUAUUAUUAUUAUUAUUAUUAUUAUUAUUAUUAUUAUUAUUAUUAUUAUUAUUAUUAUUAUUAUUAUUAUUAUUAUUAUUAUUAUUAUUAUUAUUAUUAUUAUUAUUAUUAUUAUUAUUAUUAUUAUUAUUAUUAUUAUUAUUAUUAUUAUUAUUAUUAUUAUUAUUAUUAUUAUUAUUAUUAUUAUUAUUAUUAUUAUUAUUAUUAUUAUUAUUAUUAUUAUUAUUAUUAUUAUUAUUAUUAUUAUUAUUAUUAUUAUUAUUAUUAUUAUUAUUAUUAUUAUUAUUAUUAUUAUUAUUAUUAUUAUUAUUAUUAUUAUUAUUAUUAUUAUUAUUAUUAUUAUUAUUAUUAUUAUUAUUAUUAUUAUUAUUAUUAUUAUUAUUAUUAUUAUUAUUAUUAUUAUUAUUAUUAUUAUUAUUAUUAUUAUUAUUAUUAUUAUUAUUAUUAUUAUUAUUAUUAUUAUUAUUAUUAUUAUUAUUAUUAUUAUUAUUAUUAUUAUUAUUAUUAUUAUUAUUAUUAUUAUUAUUAUUAUUAUUAUUAUUAUUAUUAUUAUUAUUAUUAUUAUUAUUAUUAUUAUUAUUAUUAUUAUUAUUAUUAUUAUUAUUAUUAUUAUUAUUAUUAUUAUUAUUAUUAUUAUUAUUAUUAUUAUUAUUAUUAUUAUUAUUAUUAUUAUUAUUAUGAAAACUAUAAAGAAGAUGUAAGUCAAAAAUUGAAUAAUAAAAAUAAAAAUAAAUAUAUUAAUAGAGAAUUGUAAGAUAUUUUUGCCUUUUUAAAAACUAAAUUAAUUACAUUUUUAACCUUUUCAUUAAUAUUAAUUUUCCGACCAAUGUACAUGCCCUUACUUAAAAAAAUUGAAAAUCUCAUUAAUUUGAUUGUAAUUAGUUCUAUUUUUUUUUCUCCUUUAUUUAUUAUUUUUUCCUUUAUUUUUUUAGAUAUUCACUUUCAUAAUUCAUAUCUAAUUAAUUACUUAUUGCUACUUUUAAUUAAUAUCCAUUAUAUUCUCAUGUUUUUCAUAUUCAUAACCUUCAAAUAUUUACUUUAUAACUUUAAGAUAUCCUUUGAUAUUCCUCCAUUUUUAUCUAUAUAGAUUCAUCUUUUUUAUUUCAAAAGACCUCUAUUCAAGGUUAACUUUUUUCAUUCUAUAGUUAAAAUAAUGAAGCACUUAUGUCAUUAUUGUGCUAUUUGAUUCAUGCAUUGAUUUGACUCGAUGUAGAGGCCUCUUGAAUUAUUAUCGGUUAUGGGAUAAGGUGUCAACAAGAAUUCGAAAAAUUAUGUAUUCAAUUAUUUAUUUUGUCCAUCUAUAUUAUUAUGAUAAAAAAUUUAAGAAUGAUGUGUAUUGUAUUUUCUAUUCUUCUCUAUUUAUUUUUGUAUUUUAUCUCUAUUAGACCUCUUUAAUUUGAUUUUUUAUGAAUUUCUAAUUGUAGCAAGUCUGUCUUUUUAUAUGGGCUGGAAUUAGUCAUUUGUGACUUUAUUGGAACUGUGUUAACUACUUAACAAUGUUUAAAAUUUACAGUUGGAUACUUAAAAUACGUCACUCAUUUGGUGUUUCUUAUCAAACUUUUAAAGAUUAAUUUGUAAUUGUUGCAUUUGAUUACUUAUUAUACAUGUAUUUUUAUAGAAUCUUAAUCAUUCUAACAAAUCUAUAAUACUAUAAGUAGAAACAAAAAAAGUUAAAAGUUGAAUUGCGGUUUUUCCCCUACUAUUAAUUAGAAGAAUGUUAGGCAAAAGUUAGAUUACCGUUUUACCCCUACAUUAAAUUUAAAUGUUAUAAGCUAUUAAUAAAUUAAAUAUUAAAUAAUUAUUAUAUCAUAUUAUUAUAUUAUUAUACUAAUGCUAAUCAGUAUAUACCUGCUUGUUUGUUUUAACCGUAUUUUAUUUUUGAUUUUCUUCCUAAUCUAAAUUACUCUCCCAUUACCUAUAAAUGUUCACUUAUUGCUAUAGUAAUUAUAUUAAAGAAGGAGAAUGAAGAGUUGCACGGUAUUAAUUACGACAGAAAUGUUCACUUAUUGCUUCAACAAUAAUAAUGAUGAAUAAGGAGAACGAAGAGUUGGGGUAAUUUACUAUCAGAGUCAAUAUUAUAUUUCUGUAGCAAAAGGUCACCCGAUGGUUAUAUAGCAAAAAUGCAUGAUUAUUAAACAAACUUUUCAUUUCACUCUAAAUACAUUAGUUGAUCACUUAUCACUUUCAUUAUAUUCUUUUUUUUUACAGGAGAAAAAUGUAUGUGUACAUUCUAAAACUUCAUACGGAGCUUGCAAUGUGAUGGGAAUGAAUGUUGAAAAUCUUUGCAGAGGUUGAAAUUUAUCUUUUCACAAAGUUGGCCUUCUAACAAGCAUAGUAAGUAACUAAUACAUUUUCAUGUUUUGAAAACUUCUCUUUUAAUAUUUUAUUUUUAGGCAAUUAUUGAAGGAAUUCAGCGCGUUUUCAUUGAUUUACAUACUUUGGGUAAGUGAGAUGAAAACUCUCUUCUUCAUUUCUUUGUCAUUUGACUUAAUUAUGUUAUGUAAGUUGAUCAUCGAAAAGAUGCUACAUUUAUCUUUCUGUCGUUAAUUUUAUUCCCCUUAUUUUAUAAGAGCUUAGUUUUUCCCGUUUCAUAUCAUACCUAGGCCCUAGCUAGCUACAAUCUUUGGAAGAAAAUUAUUACAGAUAAUAAUGAUGGUCAUAUCUAAGUAUUAUGUUGAUUACCUAAUUUUUUAUUGCAUUCAACUAAGUACCGGCUCAAAGUAGACAAAAAAGUCAUCCACGUUAGUGACGUUUAGGUGCACUUCUUAAAUUUAGAGCAAGAGUUCAUUGAUAUGUCACAUAUCAUCAGAUGCUAUAUUAUCUUAAUUAGUUUUACAUAAUUCAACAUAUCUUUUUUUCCAAACAAAUAACUAAAAGCUAAAUGAAAAGAAUUAGUUGUCACCCUUAUAUUUGUACAGCGAAACAUAUAUUUAGAUAUUUUAGUCUACAAGAUUAUAUUUGAAAUCCUUCUUAUCAUUUAUUUUUGGAUGCAAAAGUAAGCUUUAUAUAGAAACAUAUUAAUCAAUACAAGCUUUAUCGUAUUUAUAAAAAUAUAAUGUGAUAAAUAUUUAUAUAAACAUGAGAUUAGACUUACAUAAAUUUUAGAUCGUAAUAGAAGACAAACGUGCAGCGCACGUUCCCAGGACUAGUCAUAAAGAAAAACAUGAAUGUAUAGCUUCCUACAUUCAAGGACAUCUAAACACAUCAGAAACCGAACCUGUAACAAUACCAGUUUUUGCUACAAUUACAUAACAAAAUGUGACUACAGUGAUAUUAGCUGAGAUAUGAACACAUAAAGACUAGGCCAGCUCCAGUACUGAUGAAUCUAUAUCUGUUCUUGAGGGAGAAUAAAGAUAAGGCUUGGAAGGCAUUUGCAGAGAGUUUAGUUUCCCUUCUAACAUUUCCACAACCUUGCUCAUCGAUGGUUGACUUGAGGGAUCAGUCUGUAUGCACCAUAAACUCGCCAUCACCAUCUUUCUUGCACAUUCUUUCUCUUCUUCAUUCAUUGUUCCGAUUAAUUGAAGCUCUUCGUCUAGCUCAAUUCGUCGAUAGAGCCAAUGUGGAAAGUAGAUUUCACUCGUACGAUCAACUCCAACAUCAACAUUUUUUCUUCCUCCAACCUUCUCUAGGACCAUCAUUCCAUAGCUAUAGACACCAGACUUGUGCGACACACCUCCCAAAUUUCUGCAAACAAUUUCUGGAGCAAUAUAGCCUAUAGUCCCUCGUGGACCUAACAUCGACACGAUACUCUCCUCUUUCAUGCACAGUUUGGCAAGACCAAAAUCAGAGAUCUUAGGACAAAAAUUUUCAUCAAAAAGGAUAUUAUGAGGCUUUAUAUCAAAAUGCAAAAUACGAGUGGUACAACCACGAUGCAAGUACUCCAAUCCUCGAGCAAUGCCUAGUGCUAUUUUGUACAGUAUUGGCCAACCCAAUUGGCGAACACUGUCGGAUAUUUCCUCGUAUAUAAAUUUUUCAAGAGAUCCAUUUGGCAUAAAUUCAUAUACGAGAGCCCUUUUACAUCCCUCAAAACAAAAUCCCACAAGGCACAUGACGUUAACAUGUGAGGUCUUGCUAAUACUUGCUACCUCGUUAAUGAAUUCUUCACCACUGCCUUUUAGUUUCUUCAGGACCUUCACAGCCACAUGACUUCCAUUAUGCAGACAUCCUUUGUAUACAGAACCAUAUCCUCCUUGACCAAGUUUAUUUUUGAAGCCACUGGUGAUUCUUUUGACUUCUAAAUAGUUGUAUCUCUUUGGAG
rnacentral:lncRNA from 1 species